rnacentral:tRNA from 2 species
GGGCGUGUACCCAAGUGGCCAAAGGGGACGGGCUGUAAACCCGUUGGCAUCGCCUUCCCAGGUUCGAAUCCUGGCGCGCCCA